GGCCGCCUGGCGAAAUGGUAUCGCGUCUGACUACGAUUAUCAGGAGAUUGCAGGUUCGAGCCCUGCGGUGGUCA
rnacentral:tRNA from 1 species